UACGGAGGGGGUUAGCGUUGUUCGGAAUUACUGGGCGUAAAGCGUACGUAGGCGGACCAUUAAGUUGGGGGUGAAAUCCCGGGGCUCAACCCCGGAACUGCCUCCAAAACUGCUGGUCUUGAGUUCGAGAGAGGUGAGUGGAAUUCCGAGUGUAGAGGUGAAAUUCGUAGAUAUUCGGAGGAACAUCAAUGGCGAAGGCAACUCCCUGGCCAAAGACUGACGCUCAUGUGCGAAAGUGUGGGUAGCGAACAGGAUUAGAUACCCUGGUAGUCCACACCGUAAACGCUGUCUACUAGCUGUUUGUGGAUUUAAUCCGUGAGUAGCGAAGCUAACGCGAUAAGUAGACCGCCUGGGGAGUACGGCCGCAAGGUUAAAACUCAAAUGAAUUGACGGGGGGCCCGCACAAGCGGUGGAGCAUGUGGUUUAAUUCGAUGCAACGCGAAGAACCUUACCUACUCUUGACAUACUAGAAACUUUUCAGAGAUGAAUUGGUGCCUUCGGGAAUCUAGAUACAGGUGCUGCAUGGCU
rnacentral:rRNA from 1 species